rnacentral:lncRNA from 1 species
GGACUAGCUAGAGGGUUCUUCUCCACACAUGACACAUAUGCAACCUAAAUUGAUUUUCAGUUGUUCUUUCAAUAAAUUGUGAAUUUCAAUACUCCAGAUUAACCGUGAACAGCACUUUUUUAAUCUUCAAGUUUUCCUUAAGUUAUUGAAUUGGACGGGAAAACGCAUACAACAAUUCAAAACAUUCUUCAAAAGUCCCCUACGUGAAAAGCACAAUAGAGAUACAAUCAAAGAUCAUUAAACUUUGUGAAAACUAUAAGCAUUGACGAGGCAUUCGUAACUAUGAAAAGCAUGAUACUCUUGCCAAGAAUUUACUUAACGUGAUUGUGACUAGCAACCUUUACUACUUGUGAAAAUAAGUUCAUAACGAUUAGGUGAAAUUCACUUAUAUUCUAGCAUCAAAUUCAUGCAUGUAAAUUAAGCGUGCACUCUCAACCAACAUACACAAAUCAGUUUUUAUACGAACGGAUAAGUAAAUUGAAAUCACAACUUAUGAAAUCACAACCGAAGGUAAUCAAUUCAUAUUACAGAUAUAAUCAUGGCUUUGAAUUAACCUCUAGCCAAAAUCAAUUUAUUUACACAUUAUUAAAAAUAGAAAUAAAAGAGAAGUUUGGAAAAAUUAAACCGAAAGAUAAAGGAGUUUUGCUCUGUCCUUUCCGAGGUGUGCUGCGCAGGCAGCUUUCUCUCCGUGCCGAGGCUCUCCUCUGCCUCUCUCUCUGCAAAGCCCUGCUAUAUUUCUAUUCUUUUUCGCCCAAAAACAGCCUUUGACUUCUCUCCUUCUGACUUCAUGUCUUCUCUUUUUUUAUUUUCUUUUUCUCCCCGAUGCUGCUCUCUCUGCACGUCCUCACCUCUCCACUCUCACGCUGCCCAAAAAGGGCAGCUCCCCCUUCUCCCGCUCUCCAGACCCCCCCGCUGCUGCCUUUUUGUUUUCUGUUUUUCUAUUCCCUCUUUUCCCGCAUACUCCUGCCUUCCACUCCUCACGUUUCCACCUUGGAUUCCUUUCUUUCCAGCUGCAAAGCAACUUCCUGUUGUUUUCAGAAGUGAAGAAUAUGGGAGUCAACGAGGUAAAAAAAAAAUAUAAAUCAUGAUGCUCUCUUGCUCCCUCUUAUUCUUCUUUCAUCUAUUUUUUUUUUCUUUCUUUUCUUCUUCUCCAUCCGUUCCUUUCUUUUUCUACAAAACAUGAAUCAUGAUGAUGUUUCAAACAUCAUCAUGACUUGUUAUUAUUAUUAUAUAUAUAUUAUUUUUUAAUUUUAUUUAAAAGCUGAUCUACACAGACAGUUUUGACGAAUUUAUUACAUAAAAUUUCACUUGUUCUAUUUUUAUUUUCUUUGCAUAACAAAUCCUAUAAACACAAAAAUAACGUAAAUAGCUCAAAAAUAUAAGGAACUAACUAAGAAAAGACGAGUGAAUUCGAAGUAAAAAUAUAUAUAAAUAUGAUCCGAUCAAAUACCCCCACACUUAACUUUUGCUAGUCCUCGAGCAAAACAAAGAAAACUAGAACAAGAAGUAACAAGAAAAACAUUAGCUUCCCCCUAUGUGACCCUCAAAGAAUUUCAUUCGAGAAAACAAAUCAUCAAGAACCAUAGCUAGCAUCAAACCAACUAAUUCAAGUUCAUCUUCCUUAUUCAAAUAUUAGCAGUAAUCUUUGAAUCAUCCUUGAAGUGUAGUGUGUGAGAUAGUCAUGCUAAUGCAAUUUCAAGUUUUUAUUUUUAAAAUCAUCAUAUGCGAACUAGCGACCUUCUCACGGGAUAUGCACUCAAUCACACAUGUGUUUAGUUUAAAUGUGUUUCGCUCAAAGAAUCAAAUGUGAAAUUUCUACCAUAAGCUUGCAUAAAGAUCUCAUCUCCACAAUCAUAAUUGCAAAACUUAAAUCAAGAGGACUUUUAUUGGAUGCAAUGAGGUUUAGGGAGAGGGUUAUUGAAAUGAAAGAAUAGGAAAACACAAGUUCCAAGCUACAUUGCAAGCAAUUCUUUUGUUUAGAUUUAUAAGAACUCAAUCUUUCCAGCAAUUCUUCUAGCACCUCCAACCACACCCUUAAACUGAAACUUUAAACUUUUUAUUUUCUUUGUAUACAAUCUUUCUUUUUUUUUCUUUUUCUCUUUUUUCCUUUUUUUUUUUUUUUUUUAAUCACAAACAUGAAAUACCCCCACACUUAUUCUUUUGCCAAACAUCUUCACAGUACUUCACCAACGUUUCUCAUAAGACAAUUUCGCAUUGCUCGCUUGGAAAGGGUAAGGAAAAAUGUUUCAGGUAUAAGGGUAGACAUAUCUGAUGAUAAGAAAUAAAAGGCUCAACAUACACGGCUCAAAUUGGCAAACUAAUGAUAUCAUUUUUCUUUGGGAAACAUGGUUAUUUGGGCCAUAGUGGUAAACCUAAUGCCUCUAUCAUUUCCAAGUUCAUGCAAUCAAUGACAAACAUUUCGAAAGAUCGUUACGCAAGUUCUAGAGAUGUAUCUCACAUAAGUUCACCACACAUGAAAGAAUAGGAGUGUAUGAAAAAUGCACACUUUCAAUAGGCUCAAAAACUCACAUAGGAUGUAUAUGGUCACUAAAUUCACAUAUGAAGCUUUAAGUCAUACUUUAGUUUCACAUUAACAAGGCUAUGUGCAUUUGGUUUUUCAAAGAUGGUCAAACAUGUACAAAACUAACAAGAGAAUUAGGAAUUUCACCAAACACAUGUUAACUAAGUUCUUGAUGAUCAUGGUUCAAAUUUUUGAUCCAAUUAUAUCAUUGGGUCGGGAAACUAACAAAAAUCUGAUUCAGAACAAUAAGGGAAACAAGACAAUAUUUUUGGAUUUUUAAAUUUUUCGAUUUUUUUAUUUUUUUUUUUUUAUUUUUAUUUUUUUUUUUAAGAAAACAAAAACUAACAACACAGAAACAAAUGAAAUUCUAGAGAUUUCUACCCCCACACUUAAACUUGACAUUGUCCCCAAUGUCAGAAAACACUAUAACACAAAUAAAAAUAAAAUAAAUAAAUAAAUAAUAAGAAACAAAAUAAAACAAUGGGACUGAAAACUUCCCUAAUUUGCAGUAAAAUCAAGCGAUGACCCCCAAGCUAAAAUUCUGCAAUCAACUUCAAGGGUGGAAAUAACCAAAAGUUCCUGCAAAGAAAAGGAAAAAUUCAGUUAAGUACGCAAGAAAAUUAAUUAAAAAAAAAUUGCAAACGAAAAAUUGAAAAUUACGAUAAAAGAUAAUGAAUAAAACUAAUAAUAAUCAUUGGUCGUGCUUGUUGACUUUCCACAGCUUUCCUCUUGAACAGGGUGACACUUAGCUUUUCACUUGCAAGUGAUGAUUUUAUGAUAUUGUACGGCGAAGCUUUGCUCUUUGGUUAUGUUGCAGUUCCUUAUUUGUUCUCCAAGCAGAUGUGGCAGCUUCUCUAGUUCCUCAGUUCGGACUCCUUCCGCUGGGAUGAUUGUGCAAGCUGCAUUCUUCUCUGCUUGUUUCUUCUGCACAACGGGCAGGCACGAGGGAAAGGUGUUGGUCCUUAUUUCUUUCUUCAAUCUUUCCAAGUGCCCACCUCUUGCUUUCUUUCUCCUUGUCCCUAGCUGAAUUGUCUCCACAUGCUUCGAGGUAUCAUUUUCACUUCCCUUACUGUCCCCCAGGCAGAUGUGGUAGACGAAGAGAAAGCAUAAAAUGAUGAAGAUGAGUACUCGAGAGCAAGGCUAGGUAAGCAAUCAGGAAAGGGUUCCAGGCAGUUGGCUCCAGAUUGGAAGAUUGAUACCAAAUGCUGGCUGAUUGCUCUCUUUCUCCUUGUCGGAAAACAAAGACAAGGAGAAGGACAUGGAGAAAGCAUGAUAUGAGAUACUCUUGCUUUCAACCUUUAUGAUAUGAAAUACUUUUGCUUUGAAUGGGUUGUUCGCAGGAGUAUCCCAAGGAAUGAGGAACACAGAGUGACUCGAGAGGAAUUCUUUGGGAAUGCAUUUUCGGAGAUGAAGAGGUGUUGAGAGGGUGUGCUGAGAGAGUGUGCUUUUGCUGUGGAAGGCGAAAAGUAGAAACUUAUAGGACUUGUCUUCACAACCGGAACUGUUCUCUCACUUAGUGUCGGCAGCCGGUGGAUGGGUGAAAGAAUACAAAUUACGCGCUUUCUGACAAAGCUGCCCGUAAUUUCCGCAAAGCAGAUUCCUCAUUGAUAUCUAGAAUCGGCGCUUCGAGCUCUGAGCAUCGUCGAUUGUAGAGGUAGCAUGUGACACGUGCGGAUAAAUCUGGAAAAGAAGAUUUGCCCGUGGGUUGAAGCCCAGCUUUUGAGAAAGCUAGCGUGUCUUUAACUGUUGAAUUUCCCUCUUCGAUUUCUGAAUUGGUGCUUCGACAAACUGCCCGAGAUUUCCGCAAAGCAAUUUGCGUGUGACAAGUGACGACACGUCUGGACAAUUGAUCCUUUGAAAUCCGGGGUUCGGCUCGUGGUUUCUGAGCAAGCCCAGCCUUUAAGAAAUGAAACGCCUCUUUUGAGAAAAGAAUCCGGCUUUUGAGAACGGAAACUCCUCUUUUGAGAAAAGAAUCCGGCUUUUGAGAAAUGAACCCCGACUCUUCGAUUUGCGAGAGGACGCUUCUCUGAGGAGCGCCUCUUCGAUUUCUUCUUUUUAUAGAGGCGUUAAGCUUGUUCCACAACACACUUGAGCUCCCUCUAGUAAACACUCACAUCUUGCACUUGUUUAAUCUUGAUCAGUCCAACUCUCUUCUUUCUUCACCACCUCUGAAAAAUGUCUGGCCCUUCCGAUCGUCGUUUUGACUUGAACCGUGGUGAAGAGGCAGCUCCGCCUUCACCAGACAACAUAUGGCGGCCAUCCUUCAUAUCCCCUACCGGUCCCCUUACCGUGGGGGAUUCGGUGAUAAAAAAUGAUAUGACAGCUGCGGUGGUGGCCCGAAACCUUGUCACCCCCCAGAGAUAACAGACUGCUCGCAAGGCGGUCUGAUGAAUUGGCGGUCAAGGAGUCUCUGGCUCUCAGUGUGCAGUGUGCGGGUUCCGUAUCCAACAUGGCCCAACGCCUAUAUGCCCGAACCCGUCACGUUGAAUCCUUGGUGGCUGAAAUACAGAGUCUCAAGCAAGAGAUUAAAGGGCUCAAGCAUGAGAAUAAGGAAUUGCACAAGCUCGCACACAGCUAUGCCACCAGCAUGAAGAGGAAGAUUGACCAGAUGCAGGACACCGAUGGUCAAAUUUUACUUGAUCAUCGGAGGUUUGUGGGUUUGUUCCAACAACAUCUGCCUUCGUCUUCUGGAGCGGCACCGCGUAGUGAAGCUCCAACUGAUCAACCUCUGCCGCCUCCUCCUUCUGUGGCCCCGCCGACUGCUGAAGCCCCGCCUACUACUGAAGCACCACCCGACCAAUGAAUACUAUUAGUUUACAUCAUUGUAAAAAUAUUUGUACUUUUUUUUUUUUUUUUUUUAUGUAAUUUUUUUUUUUUUUUUUUUUAUUAUCAUUAAUUUUUAAAUUUUAUCUUUUUUUUUUUUUUUAAAUUUUUUUUUUUUUUUUUUUCUUUUUAAAUGUAAAUUAAUGUAAAGAGACUUUGGUUAACCUUCCCCCACACUUAAACUAAAUAACACAAACUCACAGAAAUCAAACAAAUAACACAACUAACUAAACAAAACAAAAUGAAAGCAUUAAAGAUAAGGGUGUAAAAAUGCAAAUCUGAUUGGGUUAGCGAUUCCAAAGUCUCCCUUCGUUGAAUGCUUGGGUUGCCUCCCAAGAAGCGCUUGAUUUAACGUCUUUAGCCGGACGCAUCUUUCCUUUAAAUUUCCCUCAGCUCCAUUUGUACCUAAAAUCAAAGAAAGAAAAAUAAAUCAAAUAUCAAAAGUAAAAUACACAAACACCAAUAUAAACAUAAACAAAAACAAAAAUAAAAGGAUUAGCAAAGUUACUAAUCCCCGGCAACGGCGCCAAAAUUUGAUGUGAGAAUUUCUUGACACACAAAUUAAACCCUCUUUUUGACAAUUGUAGUAUGGAUGUAAGUAGGGUAUCGUUCUAGGCCGGGGAUUAGGAGGGAUUGCUAAUCUAUUCUAAAUUAAUUUAAAAAAAUAUUAAAUAAGACUCAAGGACACAAAACUAGGCUAAAAACUCUAAUAACUCGAAACACACUUAAAAUGACUCAAAAUAAUGAAAACAAUCAAAUUAAACACUAGGAACUGAAAUGGACGGAAAUUAAAUUAAAAGACUAACAAUAAAGAAAACUAACUAAAUAAUAUAAUUUAAUAAUGGAUGGGUGUUUGGUUUUGAUGAAAAGUAAAUUAAACUUAAUUAAAUUACAGAAUUGACAAAACAUAAAAUUAAGGUAAAAUGAUAAAUGACGGACUAGCUAGAGGGUUCUUCUCCACACAUGACACAUAUGCAACCUAAAUUGAUUUUCAGUUGUUCUUUCAAUAAAUUGUGAAUUUCAAUACUCCAGAUUAACCGUGAACAGCACUUUUUUAAUCUUCAAGUUUUCCUUAAGUUAUUGAAUUGGACGGGAAAACGCAUACAACAAUUCAAAACAUUCUUCAAAAGUCCCCUACG